UAAGGGAAGCCAGGGGGACUCAAGGGGGACCAGGGGUUCCGAGUGGAGAUGAGGGGUUCUGGGGGUACUCGAGGAGGGCUGGGAGCCACGGGGACUUGAAAGAUGCUGGAACUCGAGCAGGUCUGGGGGUUCUGAGGGGAGCCAGGGACAUUGAGGGUCACAGGAUUUGUGUGAAGGGAUCCUGCAGCUCGAGCCAGAUGUGUAAUCCUGACACUGAUCAGAGCAAACGCAGGUAAUGGCUGGAAAAACGCAGUUUGCUCCUUCUCAGCGUUACCACAACUCAACACCUCCCAAAACUCCAGAGCCUCGCUCAGACCGUGACACACUUUGCCUGGGACGCAGGUGAAAUACUCCAAAUAUAAUGCACAAGAAGCAUUCAUCUCUGGAAUAAAUCUCACUUAGUGAAGUUUUUGGAACCAGUACAGUCAUGUCUUGGUAAUGUUAAGAAAAUUGACAGAGAAAGCAGCCAGAUUCCCUUACAAUGAAUUUUGGGACACAAGUGGGCUUGUUGCCUUGCUCCUCCUGGAAGCAUCUCUUUUGGAGAUACUGAAUGUGGUAAAAUGCAGUGCUGCAGCACUUCCUGUGUUAAAAAAAGCUGAUUUUUAAUGACCUGCUGUAUUACCAUCCGAGCAGACAGGGGUUUGUAUGUGCAGCUGGGAAUCUGUUUUUGUGCUCUGCAUGAGUAUUGGGGCAGGUUUCUGGGCUGGGCCUCAGAGAAAUAAAUCAAAACUAAACCAAAUCUCUGGUUAAGGCCUCAAACUGUCUCCUGUGGGGCUUUAAGUCUCUCUUUAUUACUGGAAUGCUUUUUCACAGAACUGGAAGUUCAGUAUUUCUGAGGCUUUCCUAAGUGAGGGAAAGAAUUAUUGCAGUAGAGGUCUAUCAUUCUUUAUUACAGUUUUUUUAAUACCACCCAGCUAAUUUUCCUGAAUUUGUUCAUUAUGAUUUUCCCUCCUGAAAUAGAUUCUGUAAUUAACAGUUUGUAUCUUUACAUUCACGUUUCCCACAGGCCAGGCUGGAGGGGGCUUGGAGCAAGCUGGACUCGUGGAAGGUGUCCCCGCCUGGUGUCCAGGAACCAGGACAUUCUGGGAAGCUUCCCAAGGUGGUUUGCAUCACACUUUUGUCACAGCUGACUUGGACCCUUUGGAACUGGAAACGAGGCUUGGUUCGGGCAGUGCCUCUAAAAAGCAUUCUGAGUGUUGGACAUUCCCACACAGAAAAGUCCCCUUGUGAACCCAGUGAAACAGAGAAGCACAGAAACUCCCAAGCACUGCUCUUUUCCAGGAGCUGGGAUGCUGAGCUCUGGGGUUCCUUUUAUCAAAAGCCAAAAGGGACAGAAACCCCUGUGGGGACAGCCCUGCACUGACACUGCUCUGGGCACACCUCAAAGUGGCAGCGUCAGAAGGGCACAAGGGGACCUCAUCCAAGGCCCCAGAUCCACCUUCCUGGUGCAUUCAGAAGGUGCUGCUGGGGGAGUUAACACUGAUUUUAAACCUCUAAAGGUCAGAGAUUUAUUUUUAAUGAAUUAUUUUUCCCAGGCUUCUUAAAUCUAAUGAUCAACUGUCCAUAUUUGUAGUGAUUGCAAGGUUUGAGAGGCAGCAGAGUAAAUCUGGUGUAGGUAUAAAUUGUCUUUUUUUGGCAAUUUAUACCUCCUUGGAAGGGAGGGGAGUGACAUUAAUAUUUCAUGUGGUUGGGAGAGGAAAUGCCUGGCAGUCCCAGGGGAAGAGUCACAGCACCUGUGCUGAGCUCACCCAGGUUUUUUGGCAGGAAUGAUCUGAUUGCUCAUCAUGAAUGGAACAGAAAAUAAUUCUGACACGAAGCAAGAGGAGCCUGGCUCAGGAGGUGCCAUCGCUGCAAUCAGAGCGGGUUUCAGUGAGCUGGAGAAGGAACAUGUGGAGCCCAGGAGCAGCUCUGAGGAUUUGUCCUGCCUCGUGGGAAGAAGGUGAGUCCUGGAGGUCCCCUAAGAAAUUACAAAAUUUUCCAAAAUUUUCCAAUCUGGAAUGACCUUUCCUUGACACUCUGGCCUAGGGAAAAUUCCCUUCACAUUUCCUGAGUGGGGAUGAGCUGGCUGUGGUGCCAGGAAAGGUGAGGGGAAUAUUUCAG